rnacentral:lncRNA from 1 species
GGCAGGAUUCUAACGUCAUCAACAAGGAAAAACAUUCUAUUUUCUCCAGGGAGGCAAUGCUUUUCCUAAAAAGUUGAGAAUUUAGACCUGGACUUGGCUGAGCUGUUUUACUGAUUUUUGCAAGAGCAAGAGUAAGGUGACCCAUGCAGGGAAAAUCAUCCUAGACUAAACUUCUAAAACCAUACGUGUUGCCUAUCGGUUAUAACCCAGGUGGGGCAUCUUUUCUGCUGCGACAUGUGUACCCGUCAGCCAACGUGUGAUGAGCUCUCACGUUCAGACCUUGGUCUGUCAGCUGUCACCACUCCCUUAUCUCAUGCUGGAAAGGCACACCAAAAUACAGAGAACUUUCAGAAAGGCACCAUCGGUCUUGAGCUGGAAGCCCGCCUUUUAGGUUUUGAAGAGAGAAGAGGUGGAGGAGGAUGUGUGCUCCAUGAAGACGUGUUCACAGACUCUAACUUGCUAUGGAGUGGCCAGAGGGCUCGACGAAGAUGCCAACUGCCUUCAGAUGUCUCCAGCUCCUAUCACGGCUGUGUGAAGCUAUAGGCUGUGGUAAAGACCAACCAGGGGAGAACAAGCAAAGGCCAUUUAUUCAGAGGCUGCUGUAUCAGGGGAGUCAGCCACCCACACAUGUCUUAUGGAAAGCUGCUUCUGCCCCAACCCUGUUUUAGCUAGUCUUCAGUUUAAUCUGAUAUCCGGUACCACCUCCUACCCCAUUUCUACCCAUCUUAGGUUCAUUGGCUGGGACGCCUGUGACAAAAGACAGAUUAACAAGAGAAAGGUACACAAAUUUAUUUAAUAUGUGUUAUGUGACACAGGAGCCUUCAAAAGGAAAUGAAGUUCUGAAGAAACAGCUAAACCUGAAUGGUUUUUGUCGUAGAUUUGAGAAGAAUGAAGCAUUGUGGGAAAAUAUGACAAAGUAAAGAAAAAGAAUGAGAGAAAUGUAAUAAAUCGGGGAAUCUUAGAAAA